rnacentral:rRNA from 1 species
UACCUGCAGCUCUAGUGGUGACCGCUAUUAUUGGGCCUAAAACGUCCGUAGCCGGUUUAAUAAAUGCCUGGGUAAAUCGUGUAGCUUAACUAUACGAAUUCCGGGUAGACUGUUAAACUUGAGACCGGGAGAAGUUAGAGGUACUCCUGGGGUAGAGGUGAAAUUCUGUAAUCCUAGGGGGACCACCAGUGGCGAAGGCGUCUGACUAGAACGGGUCUAACGGUGAGGGACGAAGCCCUGGGGCGCAAACCGGAUUAGAUAUCCGGGUAGUCCAGGGUGUAAACGCUGCUUGCUUGAUGUUAGUCGGGCUCCGAGCCCGAUUAGUGUCGGAGAGAAGUUGUUAAGCAAGCUGCCUGGGAAGUACGGUCGCAAGACUGAAACUUAAAGGAAUUGGCGGGGAGCACAGCAACGGGUGGAGCGUGCGGUUU